rnacentral:RNase_P_RNA from 1 species
AGUAUCAAGUCAGCAGCGGGCAAUUUUUAAAUUGUUUGAGGAAAAUCCACGCUAGCACUACCUGAGAUGGUAGUAGUGUUCAUGCUAAGCCCAAUAAGCUUAGGCUAUUAGACGACUAGUGCCACAGAGACGAGAAUUGUGAAACGGGUAAACUCCAUGAGCUAGAAACUCAAAUUAUGGUAGAGGAAUCUAAAAUAGGAAUUCAACGAAUUUUAGGAAUGUUAUUUUGAUAACAUUAGAUAAAUUGCUGACACCUUGUAAAAGGGACAGAACGUGGUUUAUUGAU